UUGUCCAGGCAAAUCCGGAUAAUCAAGGCUGAGGUGUGAUGACGAGGCACUACGGUGCUGAAGUAACAAAUGCCCUGCUUCCAGGAAAAGCCUCUAAGCAUCAGGUAACAUCAAAUCGUACCCCAAACCGACACAGGUGGUCAGGUAGAGAAUACCAAGGCGCUUGAGAGAACUCGGGUGAAGGAACUAGGCAAAAUGGUGCCGUAACUUCGGGAGAAGGCACGCUGGUGUGUAGGUGAAGUCCCUGCGGAUGGAGCUGAGACCAGUCGAAGAUACCAGCUGGCUGCAACUGUUUAUUAAAAACACAGCACUGUGCAAACACGAAAGUGGACGUAUACGGUGUGACGCCUGCCCGGUGCCGGAAGGUUAAUUGAUGGGGUUAUCCGUAAGGAGAAGCUCUUGAUCGAAGCCCCGGUAAACGGCGGCCGUAACUAUAACGGUCCUAAGGUAGCGAAAUUCCUUGUCGGGUAAGUUCCGACCUGCACGAAUGGCGUAAUGAUGGCCAGGCUGUCUCCACCCGAGACUCAGUGAAAUUGAACUCGCUGUGAAGAUGCAGUGUACCCGCGGCAAGACGGAAAGACCCCGUGAACCUUUACUAUAGCUUGACACUGAACAUUGAGCCUUGAUGUGUAGGAUAGGUGGGAGGCUUUGAAGCGUGGACGCCAGUCUGCGUGGAGCCAACCUUGAAAUACCACCCUUUAAUGUUUGAUGUUCUAACGUUGGCCCCUUACCGGGGUUGCGGACAGUGUCUGGUGGGUAGUUUGACUGGGGCGGUCUCCUCCCAAAGCGUAACGGAGGAGCACGAAGGUUAGCUAAUCCUGGUCGGACAUCAGGAGGUUAGUGCAAUGGCAUAAGCUAGCUUGACUGCGAGCGUGACGGCGCGAGCAGGUGCGAAAGCAGGUCAUAGUGAUCCGGUGGUUCUGAAUGGAAGGGCCAUCGCUCAACGGAUAAAAGGUACUCCGGGGAUAACAGGCUGAUACCGCCCAAGAGUUCAUAUCGACGGCGGUGUUUGGCACCUCGAUGUCGGCUCAUCACAUCCUGGGGCUGAAGUAGGUCCCAAGGGUAUGGCUGUUCGCCAUUUAAAGUGGUACGCGAGCUGGGUUUAGAACGUCGUGAGACAGUUCGGUCCCUAUCUGCCGUGGGCGCUGGAGAAUUGAGGGGGGCUGCUCCUAGUACGAGAGGACCGGAGUGGACGCAUCACUGGUGUUCGGGUUGUCAUGCCAAUGGCACUGCCCGGUAGCUAAAUGCGGAAGAGAUAAGUGCUGAAAGCAUCUAAGCACGAAACUUGCCCCGAGAUGAGUUCUCCCUGAGACUUUAAGUCUCCUGAAGGAACGUUAAAGACGAUGACGUUGAUAGGCCGGGUGUGUAAGCGCAGCGAUGCGUUGAGCUAACCGGUACUAAUGAACCGUGAGGCUUAACC
rnacentral:rRNA from 1 species